GAGAGGUCAGAUAGGCAGGGGGUGAGCACACCUGGACUCCGGACUGGACUGAUAUGACGACCCAAAACCUGGCUCAACCCUCCACAAGACCAUAAACAAGUUAUUAGAAUGCUCUAUGCCUCCGUUUUCUCACCUGUAAAAGGUGGCUGUCUGCAACCCAAAGGAAGAGGCCCUACCAGAUACUAACUCUGACAGCAUCUUGAGCAUGGACUUCUAGCUUCCAGACUGUGACACACUAAGUUUCUAUUGUUUGAGCCACCCAGGUUGAGCCAUUUUGUUUUGGCAACCCUAGCAUUCUAGGACAGCACCAUAUAAGUUGUAUCUACUAUUAUUACUAAGACAGUCAGAACAGAAAUAGAGAAGACAGGCUGAGUUUGAAGAACAACUCCGCCAUCCCAAAAUUCAGGAUUUUUAUGUCGAAGAUCGGUGUUGUUGGAAACUGGUCCU
rnacentral:lncRNA from 10 species